rnacentral:rRNA from 1 species
GAUGAACGCUGGCGGCGUGCCUAAUACUUGCAAGUCGAGCGAACAGACGAGUAGCUUGCUCCUCUGACGUUAGCGGCGGACGGGUGAGUAACACGUGGAUAACCUACCUAUAAGACUGGGAUAACUUCGGGAAACCGGAGCUAAUACCGGAUAAUAUCUUGAACCGCAUGGUUCAAUAGUGAAAGACGGUUUUGCUGUCACUUAUAGAUGGAUCCGCGCCGCAUUAGCUAGUUGGUAAGGUAACGGCUUACCAAGGCAACGAUGCGUAGCCGACCUGAGAGGGUGAACGGCAACACUGGAACUGAGACACGGUCCAGACUCAUACGGGAGGCAGCAGUAGGGAAUCUUCCGAAAUGGGCGAAAGCCUGACGGAGCAACGCCGCGUGAGUGAUGAAGGUCUUAGGAUCGUAAAACUCUGUUAUUAGGGAAGAACAAAUGUGUAAGUAACUAUGCACGUCUUGACGGUACCUAAUCAGAAAGCCACGGAUAACUACGUG